rnacentral:rRNA from 1 species
UACGGAGGAUGCAAGCGUUAUCCGGAAUGAUUGGGCGUAAAGCGUCCGCAGGUGGCUGUGUAAGUCUGCUGUCAAAGAGCGAAGCUCAACUUCGUAAAGGCAGUGGAAACUACACGGCUAGAGUGCGUUCGCGGCAGAGGGAAUUCCUGGUGUAGCGGUGAAAUGCGUAGAGAUCAGGAAGAACACCGGUGGCGAAGGCGCUCUGCUAGGCCGCAACUGACACUGAGGGACGAAAGCUAGGGGAGCGAAUGGG